rnacentral:lncRNA from 1 species
UCAUAUUUGAUCUUGUGAUGGAAUUAUAAACUUUAUUAUCAUGUUGUCGCACGAAAGAAUACCUAACGCCUAUAAGAUGUAAAAAACACCUAGCAGUUUGAUAUGUAUAUAGCAUUUUGAUUGGGCAAACCAGAAGCCUGCAACAAAUACAACCACGCACAAGGUGUCCCAUCAUCCGGGUGAAUCUGUACCGUUCGAGGCAAGUUCUUCGGCUUAUUGAACAAAUUCAUCGGAUCUUCUAAUAAUCCAAAAUGGGCCAAUCAUAAUAGAAUCGAAAAGUGGAGCUCGAUAAUGUGAUGGCUUGCUUGUUUAUGAAGUUAGCCAAGAGCAUUGUUUUGGUGAGGUUGCAUUUCUCUACAAUCAUGUUGAGUAUUUUAGAUAUGUGCGUGUGGAAGAGAUAGUAGAGUAUUCCUUUCAAUAUCCAGACUGUGCUAUUUUGGGCUCGAAUCCUAAUCUUUUGAGCUUUCCUAAUAUUUUGAGCUUUUUGAGCCAAUCGCUUAUUGAGUCC